UUGUCAGCACUAGAUGUCCUGGAUGGAGAUGUGGAAGAAUGGCCUUUUUAAUGGUGUCCAGGAGCUCAGCUGUUACAGAAUUUACCUGGAUCAAGUCUGAGAUAUUCCUGCCUGAAAGAAUUUCAGAUCAAGUUUCUAACCUUCCAGGGAAAUGACCUAUCCAGCAGGUACCAGGAUAUUCUUAUAGUGCAGAGACGGUAUCAGCUCCAGUUGUUAAGAAGUUCUCAUGUGCUGGAGAAAUGUGCCCCAGUCUGAGGAUGCUCAGCCAAUCUUCUUGCACAGGAGGUACUACUGCGAGGUGGAAGUGGCUCUGAACAGCAAGGUGAAGACUCUUAGACAUUUUAUGGAGAUAGCACAGCUGUAAGUUGCUAUCAAUUCAGCCAGAAGUCAAGCAAGGAAUGGAGCUCAGUUCUUCAGUUUAUCCAGUAAUGUACCUGCUAGAUUGCUUUACCUCUGAAGGAGAAGCCUACCUUGAUUUUCUCACUAAUAUUUGACCUGAUACCAACUAGCAACUGCAGCAAUUUCCAACAGCUGGCGGGAGCUGUCUGCAUUCCAAGUGUAUGGCUCUGGGUAGGCGCCUUCGGCGGUUGUGUGUGAGGCCUGAGAUACGGGAAGAGCAGCCGUGGCCUGAACCGGGCUCU